CCGACUUCCUUAUACAAACAUCGCACAUCCAAGUGACCAAAGGGUCGUGUGUUUACAUUGAGCUGCACAAAGCCUCAUAAUAGCAUCGAAAUAAGACAUAGAGCCCGGGUAAAAGGGCACGUACAGCCGAACACACGUCUGGAUCGAUCAUUGUCGCCGCGCCAUGUCACCUUGGAUGCCCCGUCUGUCCUGUCUGUCACCGCCUCAGCCCUCAUGAACUGGUGGACUUCCAGCAUGAACCUGGUUGACUUCAAGCAUCCUUUUUCAGCUCUGUGAAAUGUCCCAGAACCAUCGAUCUCCGCCAUAGGAGGAUCCAGAAGGAGACGGUGUAUGUUGAAGGGGAGGGCCAAAGGGGAGAGAGGAGAUGGUAGAUCGCCACAGUGAACCCACUGACAUCACUCCAGUACUGAGCACAGCUGAGGCCAGUAUUGGGGUGGUCGCCAAGGCUACAGGCUCCCCCGAGCCAGCUGGAAGAGAGUCAUCGUGUGGAGGAUUUCUGGGACCUUUUUUUUUUUUUGAAAUUAUUGUGUUGUUGCUGCAAGCCUCUCUGCUCCAUCACCCCGUUGGGCCAUCUUCUGUCACGCUGCCGGGCCAAAGACUUUCUGGAUCACAUUACGGCGGCUUUGCAAGCAACUAAAAUAUAUUCAUAUACAUAUUCCUCUGGUUUAAAGAAUAGUCAUUGUUUCAAGAAUAACCAUGGUAUAUUCUACAUUUAAUUUCAACAUAGUGAACAUACUCAAGCAUUACUUUAGUUUGCUUAUUGUGUAUUAUAUAGAGUAACCUAGCUUUUAGGAGUAACAGUUUAGCAAAAAGACCCUGCAGCCAAGUUAGGUUUUUCCUUAUAAACAUCUCUGGAAAAAAAGUGCACUUGGAUGAGAGCAAGGAGAACUAGUCAGGCCAACAGCGACAUCUACAGGCCGCUUAUCGAAAUACAGCCCUUGUAUUAUACAUUGCAAAUAUGCGCACUUGCGUGACACACAUCCAGGGCUACAUUUUUGGAUAGGAUAGAAUAAGCAAGCAGUCAUCGUUACAUUAAACUUGUUGAACCACAUUGUUUGCAUAACUUUAUUCAACAAUAUUGGGCAGUAGAAUUGAAUAAAAAUCGUUCAAAUAAUGUCAGCCAUAAUAGAACAAUUACAGCAGUAAUCGGAACUCUGAACAAUAAGACAAGCCACAACCGCUUUAGAAUUUCACAAAGGAGGAUUUUAAAGAAUUUUUAUUGAAAUAAAGAUAAAUUUCAGUCCCAGUCCCUUAUGGUUUCCAAAAGCGUGCUUUGGAUUGUAGCGCCAACAUAUCAGACGACUUCUCUCCAAAGCCCUCUUUGCGUAUACAGCAGCAUGUAUAGAAUCAAAGAAAAAUAAACCUAACCAACAGGUCAUUUGGCACAAUCAACUCAUACAAUGGUAUUACUGUGCUGGUAUUUCAUUAUCGUCAAACCAAUUGCUCUGUAUCGGUGCACAAUGUUUACCAUCGACUGAUGAAAAAUUGAUUCAAAAUACAUUUUGACCAUAACAGACAUAGUACAGCGAUUGCAUCAGAAAAGGUAUUGAAGACGACAAAACAAUAAACAGCCGUAGGAAAGAAAAGAAAAAAAACAGGCCCUUUUGAAGGGUUGCAAUACUGGGGCUGAUUGUAGUUUCUGUUCACACAGACAUCGCCACUCCUAUCCACCUCCACACCGCGCUCGCGUUCCAGUGUGAACCCAGCACUACACUACUCGGCAUCGUUGGGGUAGAGCUUAGACUAUUGGCCUUAGUGUUAAGCUAGUUUAAAAAGGUGGUCGGAUCUAGAUUGAAAUAUCUGAACCCCACAAUACAGACCUCAUUCGAAAUACGAAGGACUACCGCCCCACCCAACAUUUGAGAUCAAAAUAAUGGAUUAAGAACCCCCCCCCCCCAAAAAAAAAAAAAAAAAAC